GGGAAUGUGGCUCAGUUGGUAGAGUGCUUGCCUAGCAUGCGGGAAGCCCUGGGUUCGAUUCCUCAGUGCCA
rnacentral:tRNA from 1 species